rnacentral:rRNA from 1 species
CCUACGGGUGGCAGCAGUCGAGAAUCAUUCACAAUGGGGGAAACCCUGAUGGUGCGACGCCGCGUGGGGGAAUGAAGGUCUUCGGAUUGUAAACCCCUGUCAUGUGGGAGCAAAUUAAAAAGAUAGAACAACAAGAGGAAGAGACGGCUAACUCUGUGCCAGCAGCCGCGGUAAUACAGAGGCUUCAAGCGUUGUUCGGAAUAACUGGGCGUAAAGGGUGUUGAGGCUGUUUAUUAAGUCGUGUGUGAAAGGCGCGGGCUCAACCCGCGGACGGCACAUGAUACUGCGAGACUAGAGUAAGUGAGGGGGAAGUGGAAUUCUCGGUGUAGCAGUGAAAUGCGUAGAUAUCGAGAGGAACACUCGUGGCGAAGGCGGGUUCCUGGACAUUAACUGACGCUGAGGCACGAAGGCCAGGGGAGCGAAAGGGAUUAGAUACCCUUGUAGUC